rnacentral:rRNA from 1 species
GAUGAACGCUGGCGGCGUGCCUAAUACAUGCAAGUCGAGCGAACGGACGAGAAGCUUGCUUCUCUGAUGUUAGCGGCGGACGGGUGAGUAACACGUGGAUAACCUACCUAUAAGACUGGGAUAACUUCGGGAAACCGGAGCUAAUACCGGAUGAUAUUUUGAACCGCAUGGUUCAAAAGUGAAAGACGGUCUUGCUGUCACUUAUAGAUGGAUCCGCGCUGCAUUAGCUAGUUGGUAAGGUAACGGCUUACCAAGGCAACGAUGCAUAGCCGACCUGAGAGGGUGAUCGGCCACACUGGAACUGAGACACGGUCCAGACUCCUACGGGAGGCAGCAGUAGGGAAUCUUCCGCAAUGGGCGAAAGCCUGACGGAGCAACGCCGCGUGAGUGAUGAAGGCCUUCGGGUCGUAAAACUCUGUUAUUAGGGAAGAACAUAUGUGUAAGUAACUGUGCACAUCUUGACGGUACCUAAUCAGAAAGCCACGGCUAACUACGUG